ACACACUUUUUUUUACGUAUCUUAACGUACGUAAUCUUACGUAAGUUGAAUAAUAAUAAAUCACGCACCUUCAUUUCACGUUACGUAGCAGAAUAAACCUGAUCAGCUCGUUCUCACCCCCAACUCGUCACAUAUGGAAGCUUGGUCAGGACCCCCACUUCGUAACUUUAGCAUCAUUUUUCAAUGUGCAGGUUAGUCUGAUAGACUUCUGUUGAUCUCCCACAACGUCUGAAAUAGACACCAUGAGACCGAUGACGUCUCUACAACAGAUUUCCUGAUACGGAGGCGGCAGGUUGCAGGUCGGGUGGAUGGCUGAUAGAUACAGUAGAUGCUUUCUGUGGUUUUUUUGAUUGAUGCAUCACGCUCUGAUCAUAGAGCGAGUUUAUCUUUGAACUUUGAUUAAAGCUAAACUUUAAUUAUAUGGAUGUAUCAACUGAAGCCAUCACCACCAAAAGCCACAGUGUAAUUUGAACACAGGACAAGUUGGACCAUAAAAUCUGCAGAGUCAGCAGAGGAAACGUGUCUGCAGACAGUCUGAUGAAGCCGACGUGCUGCAGGACAUUUAACCUGAAACUGCUCAAAAAGAGGAGACGUCUCUCUGUGGUAUUUGAGGAAUUUGGAUGUUUUCAGACUCUGCGAUGUUUCCUUGGAUUGUCUGAACGUUCCUGCUGCUGCUGCUGGACGCUCUGUAAUCAGGUCAGGACAGUAAACCAGUGUCGCUGCGGUUUCCUCUCUUCUGGUUUGUCUCAGAAUUCGUCACCUGAGGAGUCUGCAGCGCCCGGGGUGAGCAGACAGUGUCAUCAGACAGGAAUGAGACAGAAAUAACCAGCAGGGAAGGAAUGACUGGAAGCUCAGGGAGGAAACAUGUUGAAUCCAGGAGACACUGAACCGAGCAGAGACUUUAGAUGAAACUUUAUUAAUUCACUGAAUCAGGAGCAAAAUAAACACGAUGAACCAUCAGGGAGUAGUUUUACAUUGAAACAUUAAAAGUGUUUCUAUUAAAUAAAUGCAGUGUUGAUAGUCUCAGUGGUAGAAUGACAGGUAUGUGGUCUAAGCAGCUUCUUUGACCUGGGACGCAACGUUCGUUCCGCUCAAUGCUCUAAUUUGCAUAUUGAGAUCUGAUCACGAGAAACGAGAACACUUUUUAAGACCAGGUGUAAAUGAAAAGUCUCACUGAUCAGAUGUCAUUAUCCAGACACAGAUCACAUGAAAACACCAAGUAUAAAAGUUAUACUUGACCUUGAGAUGAGCACUUAUUAUU